GGGAUGUAGCUCAGUGAUAGAGUACUUGCCUAACAUGUAUGGGUCCUGGGUUCAAUCCCCACCACCACCA
rnacentral:tRNA from 1 species